rnacentral:lncRNA from 1 species
GAAUGGAGUCAGGCUGCCGCAGCUUCCUCAACUUGAAGAAAUCAGGAGUUGGGGCUGCAUCACUGACUUGGCUGGGACAUUGGUGUGUCCACAGUGUAGCGUCGACAUCUCAUGGUCCUGCAACUGCAAGAAGAAGAAUUCCUUGCACUGCAUCCAAAUAUAGCUGAGAUUAGUUUGUAGUCCAUGCUAGAGCCUCUCAGUUCACUAUUAAAUGUCUCAAAUUGAAGAAUACAAUUUUUCAUCUUAGUAUGUCGUACCAAGUUUCUUUAGACGGGUAAAAUUUCAGCAGACCAAAAAGGUAUCUACUUCUAAUUUUACCCCAUACGUCUUACCAUAGAUAUGGCCACUGCACCAGCAUCCCUCCAAUGAAUCAAUCUGUUGAAACCUCAACCCAGAAGAAGUUAUUCUCCUGACUUCACUCUUAAAAAUUGCACGUGCCUGAACGACUAUUAAGCCAUGAGACACUCCUGCAAUCAUGAAUUCAAAUAAGUGAUAGCACAAGCUUUAAAAAUGCUUAUUUAUCACAUGAACCCAGUCAUCAACUCAUUCGCCAAUUCAGCCUAACUAACCAUUAAAAAUGACACAAUUAAAUGCAAAAUGCUAAAGUUCACAAAUCAGUCAUAUGAAUAUCUAUUCGACGACAGAACAUAACUUGCCUGGCUGUGAGCUGUCACACAUAUUGAUAUAGGUACUCAACUAACUGCUCAAUAUGACUCAGUUCUGUUAACUACACUAUUGUGUAAUCAAAGCAUACACAAAUCAAGAUAAUUUAUAGGUGUGUGAAAGCUAAGAGUAACCUAGAAAAUAUACAUGUAAGAACCUGAAUAUCAUACCACUGCCAGCACAUGAUUUAUUUAUCAGUUUAUCUUGGAGAAGGAGGGCUCG